rnacentral:rRNA from 1 species
GACGAACGCUGGCGGCGUGCCUAACACAUGCAAGUCGAACGAAGCAUUUAAGUGAAUCCCUUCGGGGUGAAGCUUUUAUGACUUAGUGGCGGACGGGUGAGUAACGCGUGAGUAACCUGCCUUUCAGAGGGGGAUAACAGUUGGAAACGACUGCUAAUACCGCAUAACGUAUUUGAAUCGCAUGAUUCGGAUACCAAAGCUGAGGCGCUGAAAGAUGGACUCGCGUCUGAUUAGAUAGUUGGUGGGGUAACGGCCUACCAAGUCGACGAUCAGUAGCCGGACUGAGAGGUUGAUCGGCCACAUUGGGACUGAGACACGGCCCAAACUCCUACGGGAGGCAGCAGUGGGGAAUCUUCCGCAAUGGGCGCAAGCCUGACGGAGCAACGCCGCGUGAGUGAAGUAUUUCGGUAUGUAAAGUUCUAUCAGCAGGGAAGAAAAUGACGGUACCUGACUAAGAAGCACCGGCUAAAUACGUG